rnacentral:sRNA from 1 species
CUACUUCGAUCUGUUGCGGACAGAUGAAAUGAAUAUGGGUAUCAAUACCCCCUGCGGUAAGAAUGCGUCCUUCUCCUGCGAUAAUUUCCGUACCUGCACCGAUAAUGAUAUUGACGUUAUCUUGAAUGUAAGGAUUUCCCGCUUUACCGAUCGCCACAAUCCUGCCAUCUUUAAUCCCCACAUCGGCUUUGACCACGCCCCACCAAUCGAGAAUCAGGGCAUUGGUAAUCGCCAGAUCCACUGCUCCAUUGGCAUUGGUAAUCGGUGACUGUCCCAUACCAUCGCGG